rnacentral:rRNA from 1 species
CGGAGGGAUCAUUACACAAAUGAAAAUAUGAAGGCCCUUCAAACCGGCUGGAUUAUUUUUCUUCACCCUUGUCUUUUGCGCACUUGUUGUUUCCUGGGCGGGUUCGCUCGCCACCAGGACCACACCAUAAACCUUUUUGUUAAUGCAAUCAGCGUCAGUAAAAAGUAAUAAUUAUUUUACAACUUUCAACAACGGAUCUCUUGGUUCUGGCAUCGAUGAAGAACGCAGCGAAAUGCGAUACGUAGUGUGAAUUGCAGAAUUCAGUGAAUCAUCGAAUCUUUGAACGCACAUUGCGCCCUUUGGUAUUCCAAAGGGCAUGCCUGUUCGAGCGUCAUUUGUACCCUCAAGCUUUGCUUGGUGUUGGGCGUUGUUUGUCUUUGGCCUUGCCCAAAGACUCGCCUUAAAACAAUUGGCAGCCGGCCUACUGGUUUCGCAGCGCAGCACAUUUUUGCGCUUGCAAUCAGCAAAAGAGGUUGGCCAUCCAUCAAGACUACAUUUAUACGUUUGACCUCGGAUCAGGUAGGGAUACCCGCUGAACUUAAGCAU